UACAGAGGGGGCAAGCGUUGUUCGGAAUUACUGGGCGUAAAGGGCGCGUAGGCGGCCCGCUAAGUCGAACGUGAAAUCCCCGGGCUCAACCCGGGAACUGCGUCCGAUACUGGCAGGCUUGAAUCCGGGAGAGGGAUGCGGAAUUCCAGGUGUAGCGGUGAAAUGCGUAGAUAUCUGGAGGAACACCGGUGGCGAAGGCGGCAUCCUGGACCGGCAUUGACGCUGAGGCGCGAAAGCCAGGGGAGCAAACGGGG
rnacentral:rRNA from 1 species